rnacentral:lncRNA from 1 species
AUUAGCCCUGACAAAUAGCGAUUUGAUCCCACAGGGCAACUCCUAUUGAAAACCAAGAUAACACAAAUAUUUUCAAUUCUUCAAGUUGAACCCAGCCUAAGUAUUUUGUUUUGUGGGUGAUCUCUCUGCUCUUUUAUUAAGGGAAGAUCAUUUUAUGAGAGCUAAGAGUAUUUGCAUUCCUAGCAUGGGAAGAAGUUUAAAUUCCCAACCAACACAUUGUUCAAGCAAGUAAAAAGAACUGGAGAGUUUCCGCAAGUGUGUUUUUGAGCUGCAGUAUUCUGAGCUUGGUGAUGAUUGAAGGUCCUGGAACAGGAGACAGCAGGUUUUAUUGGGCUGGAAUAUGCUGCUUGGAAUUGUGGCCAUGAGAUGACGGGCCUGAGGACCAAAGGCACCAGUGUAGGAUUGACAAGAUAGAAGGGCAGAAACGUCUUGAUGUCGUGAUGAUAUCACUGAGCCACUGUUACAACCCUGGGAUCAUGUACCCCGAUCUCUUGCUGAAGCCACUUUCAGGUGGAUAUUCUGUGACAGCCCAAAGUUUUCUAAGUAAAUACAUCCAGUGAGAAGGUGGCCAUGUGUUCCAAUAGCGCACAGAACCCUGAAGAAGCACGUGGCCUGUGGCCUCUGGUUAUCGCGAAUUUCUGAUGUUCACAGUUGUAGUUUGGCAUACUCCUCUUGGAAAAGGUAGAAGACCACGACUUGCUUGACUGUGGUCCGAGAAUAAUCCAUCGGCUCAUGUUGGCAGAGCCUAAGGCUGUGAACUGUCUUCUCAUUACUGAGGAAGCAGCGAGCAUCAAUGUCAUAUUCAACCUGAGAAAGGAAAGAACUUUGCUCCAUAUUUCACACGAUGUUUCUUUACCUUUCUCUCCUACUUCCCAUAAUCUUAUCUUUUCUUUGACUUCAGAGAACUCCUUUUACUUUUCUAUUUUGUCUGUUCUGAUGUGACUAACUUCUUCAAUACGGUAAAGCAAUGGAAAGAAAGCUGGCUGACUGACUCAGAGCAGUGCCAAAAAUGUACGUAUGGAAUGUCAGGACAUGCUCUAUUGAAGACGCAGAAAUUUAGUUAAUCUCCAAAGGAAUCCAACCCUCCCCCCUCCUCACCACCAUUGCUGCCCAAAUUUCACAUCCUUUAGAAGAAUAAACUCUUCAAGAAGAGAAAUCAGCACAGUAACUUCUGAAAUAAACCUAUUUUUUAAAUGGAUAUAUUCCCUAGAGAAGAGUUUCUCCCAGGCCUUUGAGUUGUACCAUUUCCAGUAACAGUGGUUUUGGAUUUUCAGUUUAGGAUCUGCGGAGAGGAAGAUAUGCCAGUGGGAAGUCACUGUGGAAGACAGUUUGGCAGUUUCCUACAAAACUAAGCCUACCCUUACCGUACCCUCUAGCUAUCCUGCUCCUCGGUAUUGACCCAAAGGAACUGAAAACGUGUCCACACGCAUACCUGCACUCGGAUGUUUAUAGCAGCUUCAUUCAUAACUGCCAAAACUUGGAAAGAACCAAGACGUUCUUCAGGAGGUAAAUGGAUAAAUAAACUGUGGUGUUAUCCGGACAGUGGAAUAUUAUUCAGUUCUGAAAAGAAAUGAGCUAUCAAACCAUGAAAAGACGUGGAGGAAACUUAAAGGCAUAUUACUAAGUGAAAGAAGCCAAUCUGAAAAGAUGACAUAUGAACAAAAUGGAACCCUCCUCCAACAGACCUGUUCUGCACCAGCAGAUGAAGCGUUGGGUUCUGCCAAACGACCUCUAUCAUUUUAUAACAGCACUGUUGGGGGGAGGGGCAAAGCAUAUAGAUGGUAAGCACAUUUUCUUGCUUAAUUUUGCGCAAGGAACAAAGGUUAUCCAAAGAGGGCUGGAUUUUAGUGAACUGCACAGAACCCAGCAGAGAAAAGAGGUGUGGAAAAUGGCAAUUAGGUAAGAUAUGACAAUUUUCUACAAGUUUAUAAAGCUCAAACUUAAGAGAAUACUUUUGAGAAUUUGAAGAAGUGUAUGUGAGGGAUGUUAUGACAUUAGGUGAAGUGGAGGAAGGAGCAGAGAGAGGCUGAGGUAGACCAAGAUCACUGCAGCAGCCUUUGAUUUGGUUUAAUUGAUGGAGCACAAAAAAAGAAAAAAAGGAGAAAAAGAAUGAGGAGAUGGUGAAAUUGACAAAUGUAAAAUACUGUAAGAGAAAUUCCUGUAGCUUGUCUAGAGCAGAAGUGGAAAAGUUUGUUAUACUAGGAAAUAGUCAUUUAAAUGGAAAGAUG